rnacentral:rRNA from 1 species
UACGGGGGGAGCAAGCGUUGUUCGGAUUUACUGGGCGUAAAGAGCUCGUAGGCGGUCUGUUACGUCUGCUGUGAAAACCCGGGGACCGUUAACCCUGGGCUUGCAGUGGAUACGGGCAGACUAGAGGUAGGUAGGGGAGAUCGGAAUUCCUGGUGUAGCGGUGAAAUGCGCAGAUAUCAGGAGGAACACCGGUGGCGAAGGCGGGUCUCUGGGCCGAUACUGACGCUGAGGAGCGAAAGCGUGGGGAGCGAACAGG